GGAUGGUGGAGAAGUGUAAACCCCACUAAAAUCGGUAAAUUAUUAGUUAGUAAAUUGAAUUUUAAUUAGGAAAGUUAAAAAUACAAAACUAAUAUCAAAAUAGGAUAGAGCUCAUCGAAACGAGAAUUUUGAUACCAAUUUCGAUAAUUUGGCCCAAAAUCGGACCAGAAGGACCGAACCGGUUGAACCGGGGCCCAAACCGGACCCAUGGGUUCAACCGGGCCCCUAACAUAAAUGAAGCAGCAGCUUCAUCUUCUCCAUUUCACCACAGCAACGAAAAACACAGCAAGGGGGAGAAGAGAAGAAACCUAACCCUCACCAUUCCUUCCAACUACCAUAACUUCCUCAUCCGGGCUCCGAUUGCCGCACCGUUCGCGGCCACGCGCUCAGCGUGUCGAGCUCUACCUUUCUAUCCAAACAAUUUCUCUGGUUCAAGUUAGAUUCCGGAACUUGUGGGCUCAAGCUAUUGAGCAUAUGGGUAUGGUGUAGUUUAAGAGGGUGUUUAUGCAUUGAACUUGAAUUUGGAUUACUUGGAGCUUUGUUGGUGACAAGGCUUGCUUUGGGGCUGUUUGAUUGAGCUUGGAGGGGCUGUGAUUUUAUGUUGAGAAGCUGCCUUGGGUGAAUUAAGUGAUCGGCCAAG